rnacentral:lncRNA from 1 species
AAGGAGUAUGUCAUCUGAUACAUGGGAAAUUAAGAAGAAGAUCAUGCAGUUGUUUGCUUGAAUGUGGUUGUCUUUAUUUGAUGCCUCUGCUCUUCAUCUUGCUAUUUGUGUAUUGAUAUUGUUUGAUUCUAAAGUCCAAGGGAAAAAUGAGUUCCUAUAUGACCUUCUUGUCUAUUAGAUUGCAUCCCAUUGGUAAGAUCUUUUCAACUCUUAACUUUUAAUUU